rnacentral:rRNA from 1 species
UGAUCAUGGCUCAGAAUGAACGCUGGCGGCCUGCUUAACACAUGCAAGUCGAACGAAGCCUUCGGGCUUAGUGGCGCACGGGUGCGUAACGCGUGGGAAUCUGCCCUUGGGUUCGGAAUAACAGUUAGAAAUGACUGCUAAUACCGGAUGAUGACGAAAGUCCAAAGAUUUAUCGCCGAGGGAUGAGCCCGCGUAGGAUUAGGUAGUUGGUGAGGUAAAGGCUCACCAAGCCGAUGAUCCUUAGCUGGUCUGAGAGGAUGAUCAGCCACACUGGGACUGAGACACGGCCCAGACUCCUACGGGAGGCAGCAGUGGGGAAUAUUGGACAAUGGGCGAAAGCCUGAUCCAGCAAUGCCGCGUGAGUGAUGAAGGCCUUUGGGUUGUAAAGCUCUUUUACCCGGGAUGAUAAUGACAGUACCGGGAGAAUAAGCCCCGGCUAACUCCGUGCCAGCAGCCGCGGUAAU